GCCGAAGUGGUGGAAUUGGUAGACACGAGGGACUCAAAAUCCCUUUUCCAUUGGAAGUGCGGGUUCGAUUCCCGCCUUCGGCA
rnacentral:tRNA from 1 species